AUAUAGAUAGAUACUAUCGAACGAUAGCGAAUCGCGCCUAUUUUCGAAAGGACUCGACUCGUUGCCAAGUGGCAGCACGAUUACGAGCCAAUUGCGAACCGUAGUUAAGGUUAAGAGUGCACCGGAGCGGUUUUGGUACUCGAGGGGCGAUAAUUCGCGAGUGGCUCGUUACAGAGUAAAACGUCAUCGUUCAUCGUUUAACCGGAACACUUAUGUACGUACGUACGUACGCUGUGCUCCAGAAUCGAGUACAGUCCGUGAUGGAACGUUAGGACGUUAUGUGCUGCUAGAAUCGAUCGAACCUAUUCGAAAGCUUUUUACGAAGGAGGAGCCGUUUCCUUCUUCGUCGAGAAAGAGAAGUGGGUUGGUAAUAGUCGAGGCUGUGCCAUCGUACGAAGGCCCUGGCAUAGGGUCCUUUACAAUGGAAACACCUGCCCGAUCCCGUUUAAGCGCGAGGGAACGGGAUAAAGGACGACAACACGGGCCACGUACGACGUAGGCCAUUGUCACGGCGUGUACUAUACCUACUACUACUCGAGAGCCUUGAGGGAGCGGAAUUAUUUUCACGAGUUCUAGCCAGGGAGCCUUCUCUCUCUCUCUCUCUCUCUCUCUCUCUUUGUCUUUCUUUUUAUACAUAUAGGUGCUUUUCGUACGGUCGGAGCAGGUGCUCGAUCAGCUCGCACGGCUUCAAUUCUCUUUUACGAGUCCCUUUACCCUCUUUUUCUCUUUGCCUUUCGUUAAACAAAAACGUCUCCAUUCACGGCUCCGAAGCUUAAUCCCCGAACGCGUUCCUUUUUUUCCCCUUUUUUUCCUUUUUUUUUUUAUCGUCUACCACCUAGAAGAGUCGACGAUGAUCGUUUGUUUGCUCGAAACCCAGUUCACCGGUCGACGAGGAAUUAACGCGACCUGGUACGCGACGCGAUCUUUCCUUUCGAUGUUUCAUACUCUUCUAGUUCUCUCUCUUUCUCUCUCUGUUCAAGAAAAGGUUGAAAGCGUCACGCUCGAGGACACUUUUGCGGCCGAGUAUACGAACGAAUAUUGCGGACGAACGAUCCGAGCAAAUAGCUGUCGCUGCCAAUUGCUCGUGGUCGAUGGAACGGCAACGAUCCACCUUACUUCGUUCCAACUUUUCUCUCUAUCUCUGUCUGUCUCCUAUACCCAGCGACCCUUCCCAAUCGUCUUCCUUCCACACGUUCUCUCUCACCACUACCCCUUACGAGGGGAAAAACAGCGGCUAAACGGGCCGGAGCUCGAAGUAAGACGGUCGGGAUAAUAAAUCGUUCGACGAGCUUGUGCCAGGCUCUACCUUGAGAAAGAAAGAAAGAAAGAAAGAAAGAAAAGAGAUCGAAAAGGAGAGAAUCCAGAGUACCUGUAUCCUGUUUGUUACCGAGGUAAAGAGAGCACGGCGACAUGGUGGCUCGUAGAGAGCUAGUAGAAAAGGAAGGAGAAAAAAAAAAAAAGGAAAAGAAAAGAAAGAAGAAAUCGAGAUGGAACUCGGUUUAGGCUGCUUUCACACCGGACCUCCAAUUUAUGACGACAUAGAGCCAUUAACCUCGUGGCAUCUCGCCCAGAAAUUGACUUUGCUUCCUCGCCCUCUUGAAUUCACGUAGACUCUUGUUCUAAAGUUCAGGGUGAGGAAGGAGAAAAAGAGAUAAGAUGGAAAUGGUUUUCUUGGGUGUUUUCCAAAUCCACCGAGGCAUGUGAUCGUAAAACAGGCCAGGAUUAGCGUAAUACGUUUCUUGGAUCUUUCAUGUUCCAUAAUACAUUACGAUUUCAAGAUUUCCCAAUGUUCCUUCGAACGUAGAAAUAAUUUCAUCCACUACAUACAUUAGAUUAAUUCUUUGCUCUGUUGUAUUAGUAAUUUCACAACGUGUUGAAAGUUAUGUCUUAUAUAUUGGAAAGCAUCGCGAUGAAGGGGACGUUUGUCAGGCAAUAAAAUUCGCUACAUAGUUCCUUAUAUCCCUCGAUUACCCCCGAAGGAAAGUACUAGAUGAACCAGGGUACUCGAUGUAUCUCUGUUUCAGGAGCUCUUCCGUACAACGUGACUUGAGAACAAAACAAGCACGACUACGAUGUUCUCCGCAGUAGAACGAUGUUUCCACGAUUAUUCGCUUUCAACGGAAGGCGUAGGCUCGAACGAAGAAGAAAGAAGAACGAGAGACGAAAAAGGAAAAGAAAAGACGAACUCCCGUUCGUUCCGUUACUCGAGCACGUACAACGAGCCAACGAGUUGGAUUCUAAAUAGGGUUGGAUGUGGAACGUGUUAACGCGUCAUAGGAAAGCAACGCCUACGAGCUCAGCGUAUUUUCCAGUUGUCCGUAAGCGGAGAAACGAGGUGUCAAGAGCCGCUCGGUGGUUGUUGACCGACUCGAUUGGCGACGCGAUCGUUUCUAAUCCCAGUAGUGAACAAGCUGGCCUUUCGUAUUAUAAAUUAAAUUCGUAUCGAUACGAGCGAGUAUUUCUGUUUUGCCUGCCGACUUGGUAAUUAGAGAAAAAAAAAAAAAAAAAAAAAAAAAGAAAACCAAGGGAAAGAUAUAGACGUAAACUCAACAAAUUCUUUCACGCAUUUAUCGCGUAUUAUUAUCUACGUUCGUUUAUAAAUUGUUUUCUCCUUCUCCUUCUAUACCUUCGCGUGCCGUCUGACCUACACAUUAGGUGUAAACAUACAGAGCUCUAUGAACGAAUCGACACGUACUCAUUCUUUUCUGUCUCGCCAAGCGUGCUCCGUCCGAUACGAUAAGAGCAACCAGUUCGGAUCUUUGCGCGAGAAAUAAAAUAAGGAAAAGGAAUAAAGUUAAAAAGGGAUAAUAACAUAGAUAUGCAGCUGUUCUUUUCGAAAGAGAGCUAACGCAGGCCACGUUAUCUCUAGACGCGAAACGAAUUAGAAUAUUCGUCAUUACAUCUGCCGGAAAUGACGAAGGAUUUGUUCGAGGGUCUACUCGAAAAGUAAAUAAGAAAAAAGGAUGUUACGUGGGUGUACGAACGACGAGACAUUUAAUCGAAAGAACAUUCGAAGAAGUCAAAGAGAAUAAUAUUUUUUCCUUUUCGUAUCCCAUCGUUCUGUUCUAUCGAAAAUCUUAGCAAACUGUCCAAACAACCUAAGUAUCUAUUUCGAGACGAAAAAAAAAACAUCGUAUUGCGGGUUUUGGGAAAAGCAAAAAACGGGGCGCCGACGUAGGACGCUUACGGUACUGUGCCAACGAAGAAAAGGUCUGGUCUGGUGGAUCGGAAACCGAUUGAAAACGGACAAAAGAUGUGGUAUGCGAAAUCUUAGCGAGAGUGAGAGAGAAAGAGAGAGUUUUCGAGUCGACGGAGCUCGCAAUUUCGCAGGCGAAUUACGGGGCUUUGCUUCGUUGUUGCUUGCGGUUUGGGUUUCCUCGUGAAAUAAAGAGGACCGGCAUCGCUCUCGUUUUCUCCGCCCUUACCAUCUUUCCUUUACGACGAAAGCCGCACACGCUAUUUUCCUUUAUUCCCCGCGACAAAGGGUCGGCGGGGACGCUACCGACAGAAGGAAAAGAAAGGAAGGAAGAAAGGAGGAGCAGAAGGAGGAGGUUAGGUAUAUAUCGAUUCGAGUUCGAGACCGAACUCGACCAUCGAGAGAGAUCUACCCCAUCGAGAAAAACUCUCGCUUCUUUUGUCAGCUCGCUAUUAUCGCGAUCGGUGGAAAAAUUUCAUUGGCUUUGCUUUUUCGAUUAAGAUAUUUUACCGCAGCUACGAUUACUUCGAUAACCGUUCGCUAAUUGCUCUUAAUUGGCCGUUCGAUAAUUGCUUCGUCGUACGUCUAUUACUAACGACGAAUUAUGCGCUUAGUCGAGCGUGCCCGACACGAGAAAGGAUAUCUCGCGGGGUCCAUGCGACUAAUUCGAAACGAACGAAAUUCUUUCUUCGAGAGGAAAGAUAGAAAGAAAAAGGAAAAAAAAAUAGAGGGAGAGAGAGGGAGAAAAAGAAAGGUAUUCCGGUUAUAAUCGGAACGAGAACUGGAGGAAUUAAAGAUAAAAGAUACCACUGUCAGCGAUAAAGAAGUAGCCGCAUAAUCCCAACUGGCCCGAAGCAGCAGCAGCAGCAGCAGCAGCAGCAGCAGCAGCAGUAGCAGAGUCAGGGGUGGAAGGGUCCUUUCAGGAGCAACGGGCUGACCCACGAGGAA